CCUACGGGGGGCAGCAGUGGGGAAUAUUGCACAAUGGGGGAAACCCUGAUGCAGCGACGCCGCGUGAGUGAAGAAGUAAUUCGUUAUGUAAAGCUCUAUCAGCAGGGAAGAAAAUGACGGUACCUGAGUAAGAAGCCCCGGCUAACUACGUGCCAGCAGCCGCGGUAAUACGUAGGGGGCAAGCGUUAUCCGGAUUUACUGGGUGUAAAGGGAGCGUAGACGGCAGUGCAAUACUGGAGUGAAAGGCGGGGGCUAAACCCCCGGACUGCUCUGGAAACGUUACGGCUGGAGUGCAGGAGGGGAAAGGGGAAUUCCUAGUGUAGCGGGGAAAUGGG
rnacentral:rRNA from 1 species